GAAAUGCGAUACGUAAUGCGAAUUGCAGAAUUCAGUGAAUCAUCGAAUCUUCGAACGCAUAUUGCGCUUGCGGCCUCGUGCCGUGAGCAUGCUUCUUUCAGUGCCUUCUUUUACUCUCAAUGCUUUCCAAGUGUUGGGGAUUAUGAGCGUCUCUUCUUCCCAGAAGUGUCGCUUUAAAAUCUAAGUGAACAGCUCGCUUUUCAUAUCUGCGAGACUCCUGCCACUUAGGGGAUUUUGUUAGUUUGCCCUCUUGCAGGGUAUAAACACAACAAAUCUCCGCUUGAGGUGGUUAGUUCUUGUCUUGCGCUAUAGGUACGAUCAGUAACUUUUCUGUUCAUUCCCUUCUGUCUGAGCAUCUUUAAAAGGGUGUGUAGCUCAGAAGACUUCUACCAAAUCAGGCCUGAAAUGAAGUAAGAGGACCCGCUGAAUUUAA
rnacentral:misc_RNA from 1 species